rnacentral:sRNA from 1 species
CGUAGGUGAACCUGCGGAGGGAUCAUUACACAAAUAUGAAGGCGGGCUGGAACCUCUCGGGGUUACAGCCUUGCUGAAUUAUUCACCCUUGUCUUUUGCGUACUUCUUGUUUCCUUGGUGGGUUCGCCCACCACUAGGACAAACAUAAACCUUUUGUAAUUGCAAUCAGCGUCAGUAACAAAUUAAUAAUUACAACUUUCAACAACGGAUCUCUUGGUUCUGGCAUCGAUGAAGAACGCAGCGAAAUGCGAUAAGUAGUGUGAAUUGCAGAAUUCAGUGAAUCAUCGAAUCUUUGAACGCACAUUGCGCCCUUUGGUAUUCCAAAGGGCAUGCCUGUUCGAGCGUCAUUUGUACCCUCAAGCUUUGCUUGGUGUUGGGCGUCUUGUCUCUAGCUUUGCUGGAGACUCGCCUUAAAGUAAUUGGCAGCCGGCCUACUGGUUUCGGAGCGCAGCACAAGUCGCACUCUCUAUCAGCAAAGGUCUAGCAUCCAUUAA